UAAUGCCCCACCUCCUGCCACUCUUUGCCCAUCCCCGCCGGUCUCCCGUCGUCACCUCCCCAUUCCUCGCCGUCUUCCCUACGCAUGCCGCAGGCUCCUUUCUUCCCCACGCGUGACGUGACCAUAUUUCGACUGCCAAUCCGCUACAAAAGGAGUAACGAGGGGGGGGGGGGUGCGACCGCACCUGGCCGUGGGAGGAGCACACAAUGCAUGUAGGAGCCCCUCCAUGGUAGAAGCGACGUCAAUGCAUGGCCUUGCCUGGCCCCAGAAGGAGCGACGGGCUGUGAAGUCCAAGACGACCAGGGAGAGGAACCCGAAGAAGAACUCCUAAGGACUGACGAAGCUACCGCCCACUGCUCUGCUCUGCUCAUUGAUUCCCCUACUGCUCUAGGCGUGCAGAUCCCGACUCGGAGAUCAUCAGCUUCGCAAAGAGGAGAUGCGAGAGAUGCAGAUUAAGGAGAAGAUUGCGCGUACACCUGCAUGCUGUUUCGGUGUCUCCUUCUCAUUUAACCACUCACAUGAAUGGAGUGGUGAAUCUACAGAUUAACCUCGGAGUGAACAACACUGUAAUCAGGGAUCGGUUCUUGUAUGUAUAUAACAUAUAUAUUGUAUUGGAACAAUUAUGUGAUAGCUCUGUUACCUGUGAGCUAGUAAUUACCGAUACUCAUCCA